rnacentral:rRNA from 1 species
GAGUUUGAUCCUGGCUCAGGACGAACGCUGGCGGCGCGCCUAACACAUGCAAGUCGAACGAGCGAGAGAGAGCUUGCUUUCUCGAGCGAGUGGCGAACGGGUGAGUAACGCGUGAGGAACCUGCCUCAAAGAGGGGGACAACAGUUGGAAACGACUGCUAAUACCGCAUAAGCCCACAGCUCGGCAUCGAGCAGAGGGAAAAGGAGUGAUCCGCUUUGAGAUGGCCUCGCGUCCGAUUAGCUGGUUGGUGAGGUAACGGCCCACCAAGGCGACGAUCGGUAGCCGGACUGAGAGGUUGAACGGCCACAUUGGGACUGAGACACGGCCCAGACUCCUACGGGAGGCAGCAGUGGGGAAUAUUGCACAAUGGGGGAAACCCUGAUGCAGCGACGCCGCGUGGAGGAAGAAGGUCUUCGGAUUGUAAACUCCUGUUGUUGAGGAAGAUAAUGACGGUACUCAACAAGGAAGUGACGGCUAACUACGUGCCAGCAGCCGCGGUAAAACGUAGGUCACAAGCGUUGUCCGGAAUUACUGGGUGUAAAGGGAGCGCAGGCGGGAAAGCAAGUUGGAAGUGAAAUCCAUGGGCUCAACCCAUGAACUGCUUUCAAAACUGUUUUUCUUGAGUAGUGCAGAGGUAGGCGGAAUUCCCGGGUGUAGCGGUGGAAUGCGUAGAUAUCGGGAGGAACACCAGUGGCGAAGGCGGCCUACUGGGCACCAACUGACGCUGAGGCUCGAAAGUGUGGGUAGCAAACAGGGUUAGAUACCCUGGUAGUCCACACUGUAAACGAUGAUUACUAGGUGUUGGAGGAUUGACCCCUUCAGUGCCGCAGUUAACACAAUAAGUAAUCCACCUGGGGAGUACGACCGCAAGGUUGAAACUCAAAGGAAUUGACGGGGGCCCGCACAAGCAGUGGAGUAUGUGGUUUAAUUCGACGCAACGCGAAGAACCUUACCAAGUCUUGACAUCCUGCGACGGUGCUGGAAACAGUACUUUCCUUCGGGACGCAGAGACAGGUGGUGCAUGGUUGUCGUCAGCUCGUGUCGUGAGAUGUUGGGUUAAGUCCCGCAACGAGCGCAACCCUUAUGGUCAGUUACUACGCAAGAGGACUCUGGCCAGACUGCCGUUGACAAAACGGAGGAAGGUGGGGAUGACGUCAAAUCAUCAUGCCCUUUAUGACUUGGGCUACACACGUACUGCAAUGGCGUUAAACAAAGAGAAGCGAGACCGCGAGGUGGAGCAAAACUCAGAAACAACGUCCCAGUUCGGACUGCAGGCUGCAACUCGCCUGCACGAAGUCGGAAUUGCUAGUAAUCGCAGAUCAGCAUGCUGCGGUGAAUACGUUCCCGGGCCUUGUACACACCGCCCGUC